rnacentral:rRNA from 1 species
UUCCUACGGGAGGCAGCAGUGGGGAAUAUUGGACAAUGGGGGCAACCCUGAUCUAGCGAUGCCGCGUGAGUGAAGAAGGCCUUCGGGUCGUAAAGCUCUUUAGGUUGGGAAGAAGGGCAUGAGGGGAUAAUCCUCAUGUUUUGACGGUACCGACAGAAUAAGCACCGGCAAACUCUGUGCCAGCAGCCGCGGUAAUACAGAGGGUGCAAGCGUUAAUCGGAGUUACUGGGCGUAAAGGGCGCGUAGGCGGUGAUAUGAGUGUGAUGUGAAAGCCCCGGGCUUAACCUGGGAAGUGCAUCGCAAACGAUAUGACUGGAGUAGAUGAGAGGGUGGCGGAAUUUCCGGUGUAGCGGUGAAAUGCGUAGAGAUCGGAAGGAACGUCGAUGGCGAAGGCAGCCACCUGGCAUCAUACUGACGCUGAGGCGCGAAAGCGUGGGGAGCGAACAGGAUUAGAUACCCUGGUAGUCCACGCUGUAAACGAUGAGUACUAAAGGUUGGUAGGGGAACCUAUCAGUCUUGAAGCUAACGCGAUAAGUAUUCCGCCUGGGAAGUACGGCCGCAAGGUUGAAACUCAAAUGAAUUGACGGGGGCCCGCACAAGCGGUGGAGCAUGUGGUUUAAUUCGAUGCAACGCGAAGAACCUUACCUACCCUUGACAUCCUGCGAAUCUGGCUGAGAGGCUGGAGUGCCGAAAGGAGCGCAGAGACAGGUGCUGCAUGGCUGUCGUCAGCUCGUGUUGUGAGAUGUUGGGUUAAGUCCCGUAACGAGCGCAACCCUUGUCCUUAGUUGCCAGCAUUUAGUUGGGGACUCUAAGGAGACUGCCGGUGAGGAACCGGAGGAAGGCGGGGACGACGUCAAGUCAUCAUGGCCUUUAUGGGUAGGGCUACACACGUGCUACAAUGGGGCGUACAGAGGGUAGCCAACCCGCGAGGGGGAGCCAAUCUCUUAAAGCGUCUCGUAGUCCGGAUUGGAGUCUGCAACUCGACUCCAUGAAGUUGGAAUCGCUAGUAAUCGCGAAUCAGCAACGUCGCGGUGAAUACGUUCCCGGGCCUUGUACACACCGCCA